CUGGAGAGAAGCUUUCUGACUAGGUGCUGCUGCCAAAGAAAAUGGAAGAUUCACCAGCUGGCUUGGACCUCAGCCGUUGUCAAGAACAGACAGAACAUGCAGGUUUACGGGAUAUUUUGAAUGAUGGGGGUCCUAACUCAUAUCAUGAAACAGAAAACAUGCAGAACAGUGAAUAUGAGAAAGAAUAUAAUUCGACUAAUGAAAGAGAGA